rnacentral:rRNA from 1 species
AGUGAACGCUGGCGGUAGGCCUAACACAUGCAAGUCGAACGGCAGCACAGUAAGAGCUUGCUCUUACGGGUGGCGAGUGGCGGACGGGUGAGGAAUACAUCGGAAUCUACUUUUUCGUGGGGGAUAACGUAGGGAAACUUACGCUAAUACCGCAUACGACCUACGGGUGAAAGCAGGGGAUCUUCGGAUCUUGCGCGAUUGAAUGAGCCGAUGUCGGAUUAGCUAGUUGGCGGGGUAAAGGCCCACCAAGGCGACGAUCCGUAGCUGGUCUGGGAGGAUGAUCAGCCACACUGGAACUGAGACACGGUCCAGACUCCUACGGGAGGCAGCAGUGGGGAAUAUUGGACAAUGGGCGCAAGCCUGAUCCAGCCAUACCGCGUGGGUGAAGAAGGCCUUCGGGUUGUAAAGCCCUUUUGUUGGGAAAGAAAAGCAGCAGGUUAAUACCCCGCUGUUCUGACGGUACCCAAAGAAUAAGCACCGGCUAACUUCGUG